rnacentral:rRNA from 1 species
UACGGAGGGAGCUAGCGUUGUUCGGAAUUACUGGGCGUAAAGCGUGCGUAGACGGUUAUUUAAGUCGGGUGUGAAAUCCCCGGGCUCAACCUGGGAAUUGCAUUCGAUACUGGAUAGCUAGAGUUCGGCAGAGGGAAGUGGAAUUUCCGGUGUAGCGGUGAAAUGCGUAGAUAUCGGAAGGAACAUCAGUGGCGAAAGCGACUUCCUGGACCAGAACUGACGUUCAGGCACGAAAGCGUGGGGAGCAAACAGG